rnacentral:rRNA from 1 species
GAUGAACGCUAGCUACAGGCUUAACACAUGCAAGUCGAGGGACCGGCGCAAGGGUGAGUAACACGUAUCCAACCUGCCCUUUACUCGGGGAUAGCCUUUCGAAAGAAAGAUUAAUACCAGCUGUAAAGGAUGGGGAUGCGUUCGAGUAGGUUGUUGAUGAGGUAACGGCUCACCAAGCCUUCGAUGGAUAGGGGUUCUGAGAGGAACGUCCCCGACAUGGCAACUGGGAACCGGUCCAAACGCAUACGGGAGGAAGCAGUGAGGAAGAUUGGUCAAUGGGCGUUAGCCUGAACCAGCAAAGUAGCAUGAAGGAUGAAGGCUGAUGGGUCGUAAACUUCUUGUAGAUAAGAAUAGGUAUUAUAUGAAUAAGGAGCGGCUAACUCCGUGCCAGCAGCCGCGGUAAUAC